UAAGGAAUAUUGGUCAAUGGACGCAAGUCUGAACCAGCCAUGCCGCGUGGAGGAUGAAGGUCCUCUGGAUUGUAAACUUCUUUUAUCUGGGGCGAAAAAGGGCCUUUUUAGAUCAACUGACGGUACCCUAGGAAUAAGCACCGGCUAACUCCGUGCCAGCAGCCGCGGUAAUACGGUGGGUGCAAGCGUUAUCCGGAUUCACUGGGUUUAAAGGGUGCGUAGGUGGGUUAGUAAGUCAGUGGUGAAAUCUUCGAGCUUAACUCGGAAACUGCCAUUGAUACUAUUAGUCUUGAAUAUUGUGGAGGUUAGCGGAAUAUGUCAUGUAGCGGUGAAAUGCUUAGAUAUGACAUAGAACACCAAUUGCGAAGGCAGCUGGCUACACAUAUAUUGACACUGAGGCACGAAAGCGUGGGGAUCAAACA
rnacentral:rRNA from 1 species